rnacentral:rRNA from 1 species
GUAGGUGGCAAGCGUUGUCCGGAAUUAUUGGGCGUAAAGCGCGCGCAGGCGGUCCUUUAAGUCUGAUGUGAAAGCCACGGCUCAACCGUGGAGGGUCAUUGGAAACUGGGGGACUUGAGUACAGAAGAGGAAAGCGGAAUUCCAAGUGUAGCGGUGAAAUGCGUAGAGAUUUGGAGGAACACCAGUGGCGAAGGCGGCUUUCUGGUCUGUAACUGACGCUGAGGCGCGAAAGCGUGGGGAGCAAACAGGGAUUAGAUACCCUGGUAGUCCACGCCGUAAACGAUGAGUGCUAAGUGUUAGGGGGUUUCCCGCCCCUUAGUGCUGCAGCUAACGCAUUAAGCACUCCGCCUGGGGAGUACGGCCGCAAGGCUG